rnacentral:rRNA from 1 species
UACGGGGGGGGCAAGCGUUGUUCGGAAUUACUGGGCGUAAAGCGUGCGCAGGCGGUUUUGUAAGUCUGUCGUGAAAGCCCCGGGCUCAACCUGGGAAUUGCGAUGGAGACUGCAAGGCUUGAAUCUGGCAGAGGGGGGUAGAAUUCCACGUGUAGCAGUGAAAUGCGUAGAGAUGUGGAGGAACACCGAUGGCGAAGGCAGCCCCCUGGGUCAACACUGACGCUCAUGCACGAAAGCGUGGGGAGCAAACAGG